rnacentral:tRNA from 1 species
GCGGGUGUAGCUCAGUGGUUAGAGCACCAGCCUUCCAAGCUGGGCGCGUGGGUUCGAUUCCCAUCACCCGCU